UACACUUGGUCUGCUUCGAAUUGGAGCUCAGCUCGGCUGCUGCCAUGUUGUAAAGCGCGCUUGUCCACCGCCCAUCGCAUUUGAUUAGAACAGACAUGGUUUGAUCAUCAGUGCUGGAGCUAGAGGAUAAGCUAAAUGAGUGCCAUUAAGGAAAUUGAGAGCUUAAUUACUUGGAUCUUUGGGAAGAAGAAGCUCUAUGGCUCGGCAGGGGAAGACCCGGGCAGAAAGUAUGCAGGUUUCUGGUCUCGACUGAAUGAUCCGGAGCAGCUUGUCAAGGCCAAAGAGAAAAAUCCCAGGGAAAACCAUGUAGAAGUGCCUAUCCCCACCAUGAAACAAGAAGAAUACUAUGAAGAUCAUGUAUAAAUGGUGGGUAUAGUAGAAGAUUUCGAACUUUUUCCUUCUUAUUUGUGGAAGUGAAGUGAUCCAGAUGACUAGCCCCGUGGCCAGUGUAAGCUCACCGGCAAGGUAUAUCCUUCCUGUUUUCUGCCAGUUCCACAUCUGUUGCAAAACAAAUACAAGUCAAUCCAAAGCUCUGAGAACACUGAAGAAAUGUGUUUGCAUUCGGCUGGUAUCAGAUCCACACGCUUAGAAUUCACCUCGUCCUGAAUCCGGUGCUUGAUCCCCCAUGUAAACAAGGUUCCCGCACCAUGCAACACUGCGAAGAGUAUCAUUGUUGUUCCGAUCCAGAUAUGGUAUCUUACUGAAGCCUCAAACUGGAUGCCAAGCAGUCGAAAUACUGCCAGUCCCCUCAGGACGGGAAGAAGUAAGAGGGCGAGACAGGCCUCUGCUAGCAAGCCAGACCGCGUUGCCACCCUUGAAACUUUGUACUGCCACCUGAAAUAAGGAUUCGCACAACCAAGAUGAGCAUAUUUCCUUUUCCACAAGGAGCCGAAUGGGAUCGUAGCAUCGCACUCACAUGUUCAAUUUCAAAUUCUUCACCGGCACCAUCUUCUUGAAAUCAUUGGAGAUGCGGGCGUAGAAUGUCCAUGCGAGAAAGAGUAUGAAGAGCAAUACAGCAAGGAUUUCAAUUGCGGAUAAGAUGCCCACAUAUCUGUUGACAAUGAACGGAUUGGAGAGGCCUUUCACUGCAGUUUUGGCUUGUCUGUCAUCGAAAUUCAGCUGGGAGAAAUGUAAAAUGUUGAGAGAUUAUGAGUUCAUUAUAAUAAGAAGCUAUCUCCCUAACCCCUACCUGCUUCUUGGAUCCUUUGGUUUCAAUUCCAAGUAAAUAAAUCCGAUCAUCGCCAAAGCAAGAACUGGAAACGUAUACACAGAAAAAUCAAGCCCUGCAAAGGAACCUCUCUGAGAUUAGAGCUUGGAAACAAAAUUCUUACUGUUUUUUCAAAUGACUGCUCUUGCUUCAAGCAGCCAAGAAAGCAAAGAAAAUGUGCAAGAAUGGGAUUUAAAUGUUUUAAGGAAAGAUGUUUGUACCAUUGUAACCGAAGGCUGUAGCUGCUGCUUUUUCCUCUGCUUUUUUCCAUUUGUUUGUCCAAAAUUCUGUGGGCUUGAGAAGCCAAAGCGAAAUCCAUCCAGCACAUAUCAAGAUCAUCAGAACCUUGAUUAUAGUAAGAAGAUAUGAGCUCGCCAUGAUUCUCUCCUUAAUUUGAUCCCAGCAGCAUCAGAAGAAUCUGUUUAUAUAGACUCUUUAUAUUCAUUUUCUAUUGACCGGUUGCCCGAGAACACACUAAAUUCAAAGUGCUCAUCACUUCAAUACUAUUCUUCCGCAGAAUGUGAAAACUAAAAUGGAAAAAGGGAAACAAAAGCAGAACAAGAAAGACCGAACAGAAAGCAGUUUGCACUGCAACAGCAGCUAAUCAAAUGGGAUUUCUGUACUCUCCACUUUGAUGUUUAAUUCAUCCGCUGCUCAAUGAGAAGUUGAAUAUGGCUCUUUAACGGAAACUACAUGAGUUGAUAAUAUCCAUAAAUUUUUAAGAUUGUUGGAAGCAGUCAAAUUGUCAAUUGUAACCUUGUUUGAUUAGCAGCAUGGCUUGAGCUUUCCAUCAUAUAUGACUAUCUUGUUGUCCUCUUAUCAGUUGGUGCUGAAUCCAAUUGUGGAUUCGUGGUCCAACCCACUAAAGUUGUGCUCUAUAUCUUGUCUUACCUUUGCUGGCAGGAUUCACCGGAUGAACACCUCUCUCUCCAUGUGCCUUCUAUGCCACAGAAACGGCAUAUGAAUACCAUCAUUUCAAGAUUUGUCACAAGUGUGCCAAUCAUUCAAGCAGAAAACAGUUUGAUAAUCAAACUGAACCAUGUAUUUUGUUGAUAACAGCACUAGAGCACGUUAAUUGGUCAUUGUUUUAUGCCCACAAUUAAGUGGAGAUAAAUCAUAUGCAGCCUUAUUUAGCA